rnacentral:lncRNA from 1 species
AGUCCUUGGCUGUGUGCAGUGCAGGAGGCCGGGCGCAGGAGACUUCAGCUCCAAGAAGCAGAAUGGUGGACCUGGAGCAGAGAGGUGAAACUUGUCCUGCCUAAAGUCUCUUUGAAGACAUCAGGGCUGGAGUCCCUGUCGUGGCUCAGCAGUAAUGAACCUGACUAGCAUCCAUGAGGACAUGGGUUCCAUCUCUGGCCUUGCUCAGUGGGUUGAGGAUCUGGUGUUGCCAUGAGCUGUGGUGUAGGUCACAGAUGCGGCUCGGAUCCUGCAUUGCUGUGGCUGUCGUGUAAGCUGGCAGCUGUUGCUCCAAUUCAACCCCUAGUCUGGGAACCUCCAUAUGCUGCACGUUUGGCCCUGAAAAGCAAAAAAAGAAGGGAAGGAGGGAGGGAGGAAGAAAAGGAAAGAGGAAAGAAAAAGAAAGAAAGAAGCGGAUGUUUGAACAAUUGCCGCCCUUUCCAGUCCAGACCCCUCUUGGGCAAGAAGUCUCUUACAAGCUCCAUAAUCACAUUAGAAGACAUCCUCUCUGCAAAACCUCCCAGGGACCCUUCCGUUCCACCUGAUUACCCUGUCCUUGCCUGGACCCUAAACCUGCUCCCCAGCCAGGAUUCCCAGUCAUGGGGACUCCUCAAGUCAGAACCCUGGCCGUCCUUCAAGUGUCCUUCAUGACAUCCAUCCCCAACUAACCGCACAGCCCCCCCGAGCCCACUCACUAAAUAGCUUGGGAAUCCUUCCCAUUUAUCUCCAUGUAAGCCUCCGCCACUGCCAUGGCUCAAGGCCAGAGAAUCUCCUCCCCAGAUUAGUCCAGGGCCCUGGGACUUGGUUUCCCUGCCUCCAGACCCAUGUCCCUUCCUCAGCAAUGUAGUAGCUUUAGCCACAAGAACUCCUAACAUUUAUUGCCUGCUCCCUCUCUGUCAGGAUUCGGGCCGACACUAGGACCCUCAACGUGUGGGUCCUAUCAUUGGCCCCCUUUUCCAGAUGAGAAAACUGAGCCGUGCUUUUCAAUCUAUCUAUAGAAAAAGCUGCUACUGAUUUCUCCUCCAUUGCAGACCAGUACAUUUGUAAAAUAAAAGUGCAAUCGCUGGAAAAAGAACU